rnacentral:rRNA from 1 species
UCUGGCCUGCCCUGAACGCGCCCAAUCUCGCCUUAUCUCGGAAGCUAAGCAGGGUCGGGCCUGGUUAGUACUUGGAUGGGAGAGGUCUGGUCUGGAA